AAAAAAAACCCACCUCCACUCAAAUUCGCCGGUGCUUAUUACUCUUCGUACUUAUACCUCCAAUCACACCCAUCGUCUAUAACUCACUCUAUCGCGAGCCUGCGAAACCAGAGCGGAGCGAGUGUGAGUCAUCGUACUCACGAGUGAGUACGCCGACCUAUAUGAACAGGACAGAACGCCUGCUCUGUUCAUUUAUUUGUGCCGUCGUCAGCGUUGCUCCCCACGCUCACUGUCGAGUGAUUUCAUUGAUCAAAGCCGCGUUCGCACUUACACGCGCAUGCAGUACAUUACAGCCUGCUUCAUUUUUUUGUGAUCGAUGCGUGGUACUUUCAUUCAGAGUAUUCACGAAUACAGGGACGCAAAUCAGCCCGUAUAUUUAAGCAUUGUCCCGAAUGUUACGCGAGUCCCACGUCCAGCCUCUAACCUGUCAGGACAUUUUUGGCGUAUCCAAAGCUCAUUUUUGAACAUACGCACAUACACAGCGGUUAAAGCGAAAAGGGGGGUGAAAGCUUCAAACACAGAAUAUUUUGAUCCGUGAUCUCGUUUGUAAGCGCAUACGCGAAAUCGGGAACGCCAAUAGGCUGGGGUUCAACACCUGUCCAGUGUGCGGCUCUAACAUCUACAGCGAACGUUCGUCACUUGUGGUUCUGUCCAGGAACGAGGUAUGCUCCAGAAAGUAUAAGAGCUGCCAAGUUAGCAGCGCAUUAGGCAGGCAAUUAUUGGCAUUGACUCAUAGACGAUAAGCUCCCUAAGCGUGCACUACCACAAUCUUUACAUGACGAGGGCCUCCACGUUCUUAUUUAAUAAAACAUCUAAGCCGUAGGGGAAACUUUACGAAAAAUAAUAAAUAACACAAAGGGUUGGCAUAGCGCGCUUGAACCCGGAAGGGUGCAACUUCGGUGGCCUAAUUACAUGUUUUAGCUAUGUGAUUAAAACCUUUUACUUAAUCGCCGCAAAAUGCGACAGGCUUAUAACCAAAGAUACAUACUCCUAUUUUUUUUUCUUAAGCGAAAGCGAUACUCCUCGCGACGCUCAUAUUGAGGGAGCCGAAAUAGCGCUACGAGAGGAGGCAUGUCGAAAAUUCGGGAACUAAAAGGAAGAGCGAGCGGUAAUGACACGGCAUUGCGCGCAGUAGGCGAGGUAAGAUUACGUUACCUGACGUGAAGUUAGGUUAAGCCAGUACCACUUUUCAGCAAACGUUAUCUGCACAUUUCUCAAGAGCGCCCACACACACGAGAAACUGAGAGAGAGAGAGAAAGUUCCUGUGUGAGCAAAGAGGUAACUUCUGCUGUUUCAUUGCAGUCUGUCGAUUAUAACGAACGAUUCACGUAACCUGCUCGAGGUAUCAUGUGGCUCUACAUGAAACCCAACAUCUUGCUUAACGGGCGAAGCCGUGAUCGCUACUAUCAUCUUGAGAGACGAUUCUUUCAUCGCAAUCAUAAACAAGGGAAAAAGGAAACAAGCAAAACGCGUCCUCUGCGGAUAAUCAUCUACGCUAAUACGAUUAGCAGUCAAGUGUUGGUGCAAAUAUAAUUUGGAGAUGACAGAAAGAGCACAAGAAACGGAGGGCAUAUAAGGCGAAGUGUGUACGGAGGUGCAAGGUUCGGUCAGCCUGCCAGAAAAAGCACAACAAACACAGGGCCCGUUACCCCAAGUGUGUACGGUGGUGGAAAAUUCAUUCAGCCUGCAAGAAAAAUUGCAAGAAACGGAGGGCCCUUUGAGCCAAGUGUGUACGGGGGUGGCAAGUUUGCCCGGCCUGCCAGAACAGGCACAAGAUACGGAGGGCCCGUUAAGCCAAGUGUGUACGAAGGUAGCAAGGUAGGCCAGCCUGCCAGAAAAAGCACUAAAAACGGAGGGCCCGUUAAGCCAAGUGUGUACGAAGGUAGCAAGGUCGGCCAGCCUGCCAGAAAAAGCACUAGGAACGGAGGGCCCGUUAAGCCAAGUGUGUACGAAGGUAGCAAGGUCGGCCAGCCUGCCAGAAAAAGCACAAGAAACGGAGGGCCCGUUAGGACAAGUGUGUA
rnacentral:lncRNA from 1 species